rnacentral:rRNA from 1 species
AUUGAACGCUGGCGGCGUGCUUUACACAUGCAAGUCGAACGAGUGGCGAACGGGUGAGUAAGGCAUCGGAACGUACCGAGUAAUGGGGGAUAACUGUCCGAAAGGGCAGCUAAUACCGCAUAUUAUUCGAGCGGCCGAGGUCUGAUGAGCUAGCUGGCGGGGGAAAGGCACACCAAGGCGACGAUCAGUAGCGGUUCUGAGAGGAUGAUCAGCCACACUGGGACUGAGACACGGCCCAGACUCCUACGGGAGGCAGCAGUGGGGAAUUUUGGACAAUGGGCGCAAGCCUGAUCCAGCCAUGCCGCGUGUCUGAAGAAGGCCUUCGGGUUGUAAAGGACUUUGGUCAGGGAAGCGGGACCUGAAGAAUAAGCACCGGCUAACUACGUGCCAGCAGCCGCGGUAAUUC